GAUGAACGCUAGCGGCAGGCUUAACACAUGCAAGUCGAGGGGCAGCAAGGGUAGCAAUAACUGUUGGCGACCGGCAAACGGGUGCGGAACACGUACACAAUCUACCUUUAUCUGGGGUAUAGCCCGGAGAAAUCCGGAUUAAUCCCCCAUAACAUAUUGAUGAGGCAUCUUAAUGAUAUUAAAACUCCGGUGGAUAAAGAUGAGUGUGCGUCCCAUUAGCUAGUUGGUGGGGUAACGGCCUACCAAGGCGACGAUGGGUAGCUGGUGUGAGAGCCCGACCCGCCACACGGGCACUGAGACACGGGCCCGACUCCUACGGGAGGCAGCAGUGAGGAAUAUUAGUCAAUGGACGCAAGUCUGAACCAGCCAUGCCGCGUGAAGGAUGAAGGCCUUCUGGGUUGUAAACUUCUUUUAUUGGGGAAGAAAAUUACGGUUUCUACUGUAACCGACGGUACCCAAGGAAUAAGCACCGGCUAACUCCGUGCCAGCAGCCGCAGUAAAAC
rnacentral:rRNA from 1 species